rnacentral:rRNA from 1 species
UCCUUAACAGCUAGCCCACCCUCCCCAACACAACAAGCCCCAUUAAUACACCCAAAUGCACUGCAACAACUGGCCAAACCAUUCUUCCCUCCAAGUAUGUGCGACAGAAAAGAACCUGGGCGCUACAGAAAAAGUACCGCAAGGGAAAGCUGAAAGAGAAAUGAAACAGCCCAGUAAAGGCCCUCGAAGCAGAGCUUCACUCUCGUACCUCUUGCAUCAUGAUUUAGCAAGCACCCCCAAGCGAAAAGAAUUUUAGUUUGAGGCCCCGAAACUAUGCGAGCUACUCCAAGACAGCCUACAAGUAGGGCAAACCCGUCUCUGUGGCAAAAGAGUGGGAAGAUCUUCGAGUAGAGGUGACAAGCCAACCGAGCCUAGUUAUAGCUGGUUGCCCGAGAAGCGAAUAGAAGUUCUACCUUUUAAUUUCUUCCACCAACCCCGGUGACACCUGGCCCCGGCCCAGAGACCAUUAAAAGAGCCAUUCAAGGGAGGGACAGCUCUCUUGAAAAAAGACACAACUUUCCUAGCAGGCCAAAGAUCAUUACAUUUAAGGCACGUUGAUACCCAAGUGGGCCUAAAAGCAGCCACCCUAAAAGAAAGCGUUCAAGCUUAAGUAUUAAUCCCUCCUACGAUACCGACAACCAAAUCUUAUGCCUCUUAACAUAUCGGGCCUUUCCAUGCCCCCAUGGAAGCGACACUGCUAAUAUGAGUAAUAAGAGAGCGAAGCCUCUCUCGAAGCACCCGCCUACAUCAGAACGGACCACCCCCUGAAAAUUAACGCCCCGCCUUAAGCAGAGGGUACUGGGUAAAGAUCACAACAACUAGAAGACCACCCAAAUGAAAGCGUUAACCCCACAUCGGAGUGCCCCCCGAAAGACACAAAGGGACAGAAGGAACUCGGCAAAUCCUAGCCUCGCCUGUUUACCAAAAACAUCGCCUCUUGUCCCAUAAUAAGAGGUCCCGCCUGCCCUGUGACGAAAGUUUAACGGCCGCGGUAUUUUGACCGUGCGAAGGUAGCGUAAUCACUUGUCUUUUAAAUGAAGACCCGUAUGAAUGGCAUAACGAGGGCUAGACUGUCUCCUUUCCCCCGUCAAUGAAAUUGAUCUUCCCGUGCAGAAGCGGGAAUACCAGCAUAAGACGAGAAGACCCUAUGGAGCUUUAGACCUCGCAGCAGAUCACGUCAAAACUCUUAAACCACUAAGACUAAACAAAGUGCCCCCCGCUGCGGGUCUUUGGUUGGGGCGACCGCGGGGAAGCAACCAACCCCCGCGUGGUACGGGCCAAACCCCUAAAGCCAGACCCACAGCUCUAGCAAGCAGAACAUCUGACCUUCAAGAUCCGGCAUUGCCGAUUAACGGACCAAGUUACCCUAGGGAUAACAGCGCAAUCCUCUUUAAGAGUUCAUAUCGACAAGAGGGUUUACGACCUCGAUGUUGGAUCAGGACAACCUAAUGGUGCAGCCGCUAUUAAGGGUUC